rnacentral:rRNA from 1 species
GAUGAACGCUGGCGGCGUGCCUAAUACAUGCAAGUCGAGCGAACAGACGAGGAGCUUGCUCCUCUGACGUUAGCGGCGGACGGGUGAGUAACACGUGGAUAACCUACCUAUAAGACUGGGAUAACUUCGGGAAACCGGAGCUAAUACCGGAUAAUAUAUUGAACCGCAUGGUUCAAUAGUGAAAGACGGUUUUGCUGUUACUUAUAGAUGGAUCCGCGCCGCAUUAGCUAGUUGGUAAGGUAACGGCUUACCAAGGCAACGAUGCGUAGCCGACCUGAGAGGGGGAUCGGCCACACUGGAACUGAGACACGGUCCAGACUCCUACGGGAGGCAGCAGUAGGGAAGCUUCCGCAAGGGGCGAAAGCCUGACGGAGCAACGCCGCGUGAGUGAUGAAGGGCUUCGGAUCGUAAAACUCUGUUAUUAGGGAAGAACAAAUGUGUAAGUAACGAUGCACGUCUUGACGGUACCUAAUCAGAAAGCCACGGCUAACUACGU